rnacentral:rRNA from 1 species
AUGGUUGUCGUCAGCUCGUGUCGUGAGAUGUUGGGUUAAGUCCCGCAACGAGCGCAACCCUCGACCUUAGUUGCCAGCAUUCAGUUGGGCACUCUAAGGUGACUGCCGGCUAAAAGUCGGAGAAGGUGGGGAUGACGUCAAAUCAUCAUGCCCCUUAUGACCUGGGCUACACACGUGCUACAAUGGGCGGUACAAAGGGUCGCGAACCCGCGAGGGGGAGCCAAUCCCAAAAAGCCGCUCUCAGUUCGGAUUGCAGGCUGCAACUCGCCUGCAUGAAGUCGGAAUCGCUAGUAAUCGCGGAUCAGCACGCCGCGGUGAAUACGUUCCCGGGCCUU